AGUAAAAUGACUGAACUUAUAGGUGAUAAAUUGUAAAUUUAUUUAUGAGAGUAAAAAUCUCUUUUACUA
rnacentral:tRNA from 1 species